UUAACUCUGGAACGUUGGUUUU
rnacentral:miRNA from 1 species